rnacentral:rRNA from 1 species
UACGUAGGGCGCAAGCGUUUGUCCGGAAUUAUUGGGCGUAAAGAGCUCGUAGGCGGUUUGUCGCGUCUGCUGUGAAAACCUAAGGCUCAACCUCGGGCCUGCAGUGGGUACGGGCAGACUAGAGUGUGGUAGGGAGACUGGAAUUCCUGGUGUAGCGGUGGAAUGCGCAGAUAUCAGGAGGAACACCAAUGGCGAAGGCAGGUCUCUGGGCCACAACAUGACGCUGGAGGAGCGAAAGCGUGGGAGCGAACAGG